rnacentral:rRNA from 1 species
AUUGAACGCUGGCGGCAUGCUUUACACAUGCAAGUCGAACGGCAGCGGGGGCUUCGGCCUGCCGGCGAGUGGCGAACGGGUGAGUAAUGCAUCGGAACGUGCCCAUGUCGUGGGGGAUAACGUAUCGAAAGGUACGCUAAUACCGCAUACGUCCUGAGGGAGAAAGCGGGGGAUCGCAAGACCUCGCGCGAUUGGAGCGGCCGAUGUCGGAUUAGCUAGUAGGUGAGGUAAAGGCUCACCUAGGCGACGAUCCGUAGCGGGUCUGAGAGGAUGAUCCGCCACACUGGGACUGAGACACGGCCCCAGACUCCUACGGGAGGCAGCAGUGGGGAAUUUUGGGACAAUGGGGGCAACCCUGAUCCAGCCAUGCCGCGUGAGUGAAGAAGGCCUCGGUUGU